AUCACCUACGGGACGCAGCAGUGGGGAAUUUUGGACAAUGGGCGCAAGCCUGAUCCAGCUAUUCCGCGUGUGGGAUGAAGGCCCUCGGGUUGUAAACUUCUUUUGUAGAGAACGAAAAGACACCUUCGAAUAAAGGGUGUUGCUGACGGUACUCUAAGAAUAAGCACCGGCCAACUACGUGCCAGCAGCCGCGGUAAUACGUAGGGUGCGAGCGUUAAUCGGAAUUACUGGGCGUAAAGGGUGCGCAGGCGGUUGAGUAAGACAGUUGUGAAAUCCCC
rnacentral:rRNA from 1 species